GGAGGGCAAGUCUGGUGCCAGCAGCCGCGGUAAUUCCAGCUCCAAUAGCGUAUAUUAAAGUUGUUGCAGUUAAAAAGCUCGUAGUUGAAUUUCGGGAUCAAUAUGCUGGUCGUGCCUUUGGUACGUACUGGUAUUAUUGGUUUCUCCUUUCUGAUGAAUCACGAUGUCAUUAAUUUGGUGUCAUGGGGAAUCAGGACUGUUACUUUGAAAAAAUUAGAGUGUUUAAAGCGGGCUUACGCUUGAAUACAUUAGCAUGGAAUAAUGAAAUAGGACGUUUAAUUCUAUUUUGUUGGUUUCUAGGAUUGACGUAAUGAUUAAUAGGGAUAGUUGGGGGCAUUAGUAUUCAAUUGUCAGAGGUGAAAUUCUUGGAUUUAUAGAAGACUAACUACUGCGAAAGCAUUUGCCAAGGAUGUUUUCAUUAAUCAAGAACGAAAGUUAGGGGAUCGAAGACGAUCAGAUACCGUCGUAGUCUUAACCAUAAACUAUGCCGACUAGGGAUCGGGUGAUGUUAAUUUAUGACUCAUUCGGCGCCUUACGGGAAAC
rnacentral:rRNA from 1 species